rnacentral:lncRNA from 1 species
UGUCGUUUGUUUCUCCUAAAUUGAAUACUAAAAAAAUAGUGAAUGAUAAUUAUUUUUAUGGGAACUGAUUUUGUAUUUUUUCCAGGUGCAAAAUAUUUUUUGUGAGGGAACAUUUAUUAAGUAUUGCUACCUAUGUCUGUAACAUCAUGUAUUAAUUUCUAGAAUAUUAUAUCUGAUGAUAAAUACUAGAUUGCAUACUCGUGAAUUCGAACGGGUCAUCUAUAUUAUGUAAUAAACUAAGACAACAUAUUAUUUUGAUUUUUUCCACCAGUUUAAUCUGGUUCGGAUGUCAGUUAUGGUAUCAAUUGGUUUCAGCCCUCUUCCGAUCGUAGUUGCGGGGAAUUGAACUGUGGUCCUCCCUACCAAGUUCAGCGCCGAUCACCACUAAAUCAACUAACGUUUGGUAAGACAAUGAUAUUGUACAACGGAUAUGAUAAUCAUGAUUAUAUAUAACAAAAUGAGAAAUACUAUAUAAAUUGGUAAUAAGAAGUUAGCACAUCG